UUGUAUUUUGUACUAGGACAUUGAAAAGAGAAAAUAAAAGGUUUAUAGUUCAUUUAGCCUACUGAGAGAAAUUAGGCUAUAGUUCAUUUUGAGAUGAACACGCCCAUACACUAAUCUGCCAUUUCACUUGAGAUCAAUAUCUACUGUAAUUUGUCUAUUGUUAAUAUCAAGUUAUUCUUAUGUUCGGAUGACAUCGGUAUGAUACAUUCCUUUACAGCUUGCGAUGAUUUCCAACAAUGACCCACUUAUAUGCAUUGACUGCCAGGUAUGUGCUUUUGAAGACCCAUUCACCUUGAGAGAGCAGGAAAUAGCAAAUAGAUGCAUGACUUUGCUGAAUUAUAACAAUAACUUGCUCUAAAUUCUACAAUUAAUGGUAUUGUGUAGGACACCUGGUUGUUUUUGCCCGCAAAAGAUAUAUCACACUGUACUUGUUAAUGGUUGGAAAUUUUGUAUAUCACAUGGGUAUCCCCAUGAACAGUGAGGUACUUGGGAAGAGCCAACGAUGAAUCUUUCAGAAGCUCAAUCAUGUUGGGUCACUCAUUAAUUAGAUGAAUCAAGCUUGGAAACAUCCGUUCGAAGUUCAUACGUUAUUGUUUCAAAGUUCAUGCACUAUUAUUUAAUGAACUCUGCUUGAACAAGUUAGGCUUAUGAAUAGCUAGAAUGGCUUUCACUUUCACAUCUUACACACUUAAGGACACUUAUGAAGCGUACAUGAAUACAAAAAUUGUGACGAUGGUUUGGGUGCUCAUGUGAACUAAUGGCAUUGCAAAAAAAAAAUAAAAUGAUGUGAGUUCAUAAAUUUUACAUGUAUUUUAUAGCCCAUUUAAUGUCUCAACUUUGAUUCCUCGUGCUAAAUUGGAAUGUUAAAUAAGUGUCAGUGUCACAAGCCAAGUGAGGCUUGUGAAGAGCAAUAGUAUUUGGAGUCAUAUGCCUCAUGAUGUUAAGGGAACUUAAGUUGGAGCCUGAUGAGCUUGAACUUGACUCGAUUUAUAAUUUUCUACUUCACUAAAGAUCUUCCAAGUGAGAGACAAUUGGAAACUCGUGAGUAGAAUACCUUGUAAUUGGACCCUUGACCAAAGUUCUCAUACAUGGUCUAAGUAAGGGACGGGACCGUGAAGCCAAUUUUUCCUCCAAAUCUUCUUUAAUUGAUAAGAUGACGUGUAUUGUAUAAAGAAAAACAUCAAACUCUUUGAUCAUAGGAUGUUUUUAUAACUUCCCUAUUGAAUUAGAUGUCUCUGACAAGAUAGCAGGCAAACAUUCUUGAAUUUUUUCCUUUAAUGGUAAAUUCAGCCAUAUCCUUUACUUUUUUAUGGACAUUCUCUACAAGCGGAGAAACUUUAAUUAUAUGUUCUGAAUGUGUAUGUUUGGAAGUAUUAUGGACCUAAUCAGUUGAUAGUUGAAGUUAUGUAGAAUUGGUUAAUAUCUUCUUGAUUGACUAUGAUGAACUUUUGAUGAAUUUGGUAGGAGGGUUCCGCCAAAUUGCUCUUAGUAUUAGUUUGGACAUUAAAAUCUUUCUGCUUUUGUAAUAUUUGUAUGAUGAAAAAAAUUGUUUUGACAGUUGGAGACAUUCAAGAGACAACUAAUGCAGUCGCAAAAUGAUGAUAAGUCUCAUCUGUAACAUUUUUUCGAUCAUGGUGGUUGAUAACUCUUACGCUGAGUUUGUUUUCUACCUUGGUCUUUUAUUGACGAUGAGUGCUACCGGUGGACAUCGCUCACACCUGAUAUUUAAUGGUGAUUUGGUCUUCCAGCAUGGAGUCCGCAUGGUAGACAAAUAAUGGAGAACUAAUGUUAAACUCUGAUGGGCGUACCGGGCAAGAAUGUUCUAUGCGUAGUAUGGCUUAUUCGAAGGAUGCCUGCAAGUGUAUGCAUCCUUCAUGUCUGAAGAGGAGGGAGCUAUUCUUGGAAGACAUGGCUCAGAAACUUGGUUUCUACCUUUGAUGAUGAAUGAAGUUGGUUGCGAUAGAGAUUUGUUCUGUAAUUUUAUGUUUUCGGAGAUUAGUUUUUUUUUUUGGGUGUGUAUCUUUUUCUAUAACAAGUCUUGUAUUGGGAAGAUAGAAAUCAAGACCUUAAUCUUUGCUUUUGAUUAAAGUGAUUGGAAUCGAGAGUUCUUUGCUUAGGCUUCCGACCUGAGUUUUGCCCUCAGACAAUAUAGUUUUCUUGUACCAUUAAUAAAUUUCU